GCAGGCGAGAAAACUCCACAAUGCGCGAAAGCGUGAUGGGGGAAGUCUGAGCGGCGAACUUAGUUCGUCUUUUGCCAAGUACAGCAAGCUUGGAGAAUAAGUGCUGGGUAAGACCGGUGGCAGCCGCCACGGUAAUACCGGCGGCACAAGUGGUAUCCGCGGUUAUUGGGCUUAAAGAGUCAGUAGCUGGCUAAAACCGUCUCAUGUGAAAUAUUGGCGCAUAACGUCAAUACGGGCAUGAGAUACCUUUUGGCUAGGGAGUGGGCGAGGUUGAGAGUACUCACGGGGUAGGAGUAAAAUCCUGUAAUCCUGUGAGGACUACCUGUGGCGAAGGCGCUCAACCAGAACACAUCCGACAGUGAGUGACGAAGGCUAGGAGAACAAAUCGGAUUAGAUACCCCCGUAGUCC
rnacentral:rRNA from 1 species